UAUAAUUAUAAUAAUAGAUAAAAUAAUUCUUUAAAUUUUAUUUGUCUUAUUGAUAUUUAAUUUUUAAAACAUAAAUAUAUUAUCUGUACCUUUCAAUGGGUACUAUACAUAUUACCAUUCACGUAUUAUUUUCAACCGCUUAUUUUAGACAAACUGUGAUGAUCCUGCACUAUGUGUUUUUCUCAUACCAACCACACUUAAACUAUACAGCAAUAUCUAAUCCGCUCAUCCCCCACCGCUCAAUCAAUUGUUACCAUUCGAAGCCAAAAAUGGUUCCUUAAAAAGCUUUAUCUCAAUUUUGUUGACCGACAUUCAUAUAUUAUUCUAAUCAAUUUUUUUUGUUUAUUUUGUGUUAACAACUAUUAGUCUCAUCUUUAAAACAAAACAUUA
rnacentral:lncRNA from 1 species